rnacentral:tRNA from 1 species
AAAUAAGAAACAAAAAUUUGUAUUUAGUUUCGACCUAAAAUUAUGAUGAUAACUCAUCCUUAUUUA